CCUACGGGAGGCAGCAGUAGGGAAUCUUCCACAAUGGACGAAAGUCUGAUGGAGCAACGCCGCGUGAGUGAAGAAGGGUUUCGGCUCGUAAAGCUCUGUUGGUAGUGAAGAAAGAUAGAGGUAGUAACUGGCCUUUAUUUGACGGUAAUUACUUAGAAAGUCACGGCUAACUACGUGCCAGCAGCCGCGGUAAUACGUAGGUGGCAAGCGUUGUCCGGAUUUAUUGGGCGUAAAGCGAGUGCAGGCGGUUCAAUAAGUCUGAUGUGAAAGCCUUCGGCUCAACCGGAGAAGUGCAUCAGAAACUGGUGGACUUGAGUGGAGAAGAGGAGAGUGGAAGUCCAUGUGUAGCGGUGGAAUGCGUAGAUAUAUGGAAGAACACCAGUGGCGAAGGCGGCUCUCUGGUCUGCAACUGACGCUGAGGCUCGAAAGCAUGGGUAGCGAACAGGAUUAGAUACCCGUGUAGUC
rnacentral:rRNA from 1 species